CCUGGAGUGCUGCAGUCCAUGGGGUUGCAAAGAGUCUGACAUGACUGGGUGACUGAAGAACAACUAUAUAUAUAUGCGUAAUGUAUGUUAUAUAUAUUUACAUUAUAUAUAUAUACACACAUAAUUUUAUUGUUCCUAUCUGUGAUGAUUUUAGUAUAUUUACAUAAUAUCAAAUAUUAUUUAUAAUAUAUUUUAGUAUAUUAAACAAUAUUAAAAUAAUAGUCACUCUUCUAAACAUUUUAUAUAUACCAACACUUUACAUACAUUGUCAUUUUACUUAUCAGAAAAUUGAAGCACUAAUUGAUAAAGGACAUAAAACCAGCUAGAGAUCUAACUGGUAUUCAAGUCCAGGCAGUCUGGCUCCUGAAUCGUCACUCUUGACCUCUCUGAUGUAACACCUCUCAGUGCAAGAGAGAGAGAGAAAAACAGAAUGAUGUUCUGGGAGAUGACUAGCUAGUACAAAUUUGUUUGAAGAAUGAGAACUAGGAUAUUUAGACCUUAGUUUGAAAUACUUGAAUGAUAAAAUUCAAUGCACAACCUAAGCACUGUGAGUUAUAGGAUAUAUUUACUCUGAAAGGUUGCUGAUUCAAGCAAUAGAGCUUUAAGCCAUGAGCACAAUUGGAAUCAGAAAUGUAUUUGGACAAAUACAUGAAAUCAGAUGCUUUGGAGAAAAUAGUACAAUACAUGUUAAAGGAUAGUAUUUUUAAAGGUUUAAUCAUAAUGUUCAUAGAAAUAUAAAAUGUGUCAAAUAUUUAAUUAAUGAGAGAGCAGUAAGCUGUUAAACAUGUUCAAACACGUUCAACAUGUUCAAACACGUUCAAAGUAAACAAAGGAUACAAAUGACAAAAAGUAAACAAAGUUGACAAAAAGUAAACAAAUGACUUAUAUCAUCAGUCACAAAGAUUGGCAUGAAUUUAUAAAUAGACACAAAAUUUGGUCAGUAUACACAGGGUAAUAAUCAAAUAUUCCUUCUCGGGACAAAAUGUAUUUACAUUGCUAUAGACAAUAAUUUUCAUUACUAUUAGUUUUCUGUAACUUGCAAAGUUGUAAAAUAGUGAAAGUAAAAAGUUCAGAUAACCCAGAAGAGUAUACAAAUCAGGACAUUUUAAUAAUCUUUCUUGCCCAUUUUCCGGACAACUCUCUACACCCCCGAUCAUAAUAACCUCAAAGAUGAUUUUUGAUGCAAAAAAAUGGCUGGUCUCAUUCAUUAGUUUGGGCUUGAUUGAUUAUUUAGCUGCAGCAAGAUAUUAAGAUAGCCGGAUAGCCUCUCUCAGUUUUUUUUGCAGUUACUGAGGCUGCAAAAUUAGCUUUUAUCUGGAAAUUUUCAGAGAGAAUCUCAGAUUCUACUUUUUAAAGUUUCUAUUUUUGCCAUUAGGUAACAGAGCCCUAGACAAUCCCCUCACUCUGUUUUACCUGCAGGUACCUAUUAUGGGAUGAAUUCCUCUCUUUUCCAGGUCACCAAAAUAUCAUUACCACCUAUAAGUGACCUUCCUUACCACAUGCAAAGCUGAGACCCUCUACUCCAGGUAUCAGGUCAUUUUUCCUAAGAGGGCUUUGUAGUUAUUAGCUCUGUGAGUAUAGCCAAUCUUUAUUCUUCAGAAGUGGUAGUCAUAUCUGAUUAAAUGGUCACCAUUCUCGAACAUGAUACAGAUAUGUCCUUAGUUCAGCCAUCGAUUUCUUCAGUUAUAUCCUGGUAGAGAGGAGGACAUUCAUAAAUCUAUGAACAUCACUAUAUUGUCAAGAAAAGUUAGCAUACCUCGUAAGAGUUUCUGAUUUCUGAGAGAAUCAGUUAAAUCAAAUAUUUUUAGUUUUAAGAAAUCAGAAUCUAUGAAAUUGUGUUGGUUAUACAUAUUUUAUUGAGAAGAAAGAAAAAGAAUCUCCUCACAUACGCAGAAGAGAACAUUUGAAACAUCAGUAAUAUUCCAAACAAACAGCCAGAAAAAAAUUAUUUGGUUUACUUAGUCCUAAGUAAUCAGUUCUCAUUCCAUUAGAUUUUAGCUUAGCAGUCUGCUUUCAUGAAACUUGCACCUUUUAGACUGAUGAGCAUUUUGGAAAUACUAGCUCAGUCCACUGUUACAGUCUAAAAGUUACCUAAACAAUAGCCUUUUUAAGUUAAAAUGACUAUAAAAUAAAAGCAUAAAAGGCACACGGUUGUUAAGAAUUGACUCUUUCAUAACUGAGGAAGUUUUUGUUCUUUUUCCACUUAAGAAGCCAAGCAUAUAACAAAAUUAACAUAUAGCAAAGAAAAUUAUUCUAGUAAGACACUGAAUUUCUGCUGUCUAGGCAGAUUACAUAGAUAGUAGGUAAAAGCACUCAUCAGUAAGCCCAGGAAAGAAGCCCAUCAAAACUAAGUGAACUUUGUUUCAGGUGAAUAUGUAUUUUAACACAUUUUGUAACUUAUUUUCAGGCAUUACAAAUCCAAGGAAAUAAUCUUCACUUUCCAAGUUUUAUCUUUUGUUAUGUUUUUUCAAAUAUUCUGGAACGAAUUGAUACUUUGCUUUAGGACUGCAGUCCUUUUUCAGAUGACCCACAUGAUGAAAACUAUCUUCACAAUAAUAUGAUAACAUACAACAGGUUGAUCAUUGCUUUUUUCAAAUGAAUUAAUAUUUGUAAAACUUUUGUUUCGAUUUCUAAUUCAGCAAAUAUUGAUAAUUAUUGUAAAGGGGCUCAGAGACCAAAAACUUUCAGGACCGCUGCUUUAGAGCAGUGUUUUUUUUUGUUUGUUGGUUGGUUUUGUUAAAAAAAUAAAAAUACAUGCUCAGUUG